rnacentral:rRNA from 1 species
GACGGUACAGGUCUCCGUAGGUGACCUGCGGAGAGAUCUUACUGAGUGAGGACUCAGCCCGACCUCCAACCCUUUGUGAACACAUCUUGUUGCUUCGGGGGCGACCCUGCCGGCACUACGUCGCCGGGCGCCCCCGAAGGUCUCCAAACACUGCAUCUUUGCGUCGGAGUUUAAACAAAUUAAACAAAACUUUCAACAACGGAUCUCUUGGUUCUGGCAUCGAUGAAGAACGCAGCGAAAUGCGAUAAGUAAUGUGAAUUGCAGAAUUCAGUGAAUCAUCGAAUCUUUGAACGCACAUUGCGCCCUUUGGUAUUCCGAAGGGCAUGCCUGUUCGAGCGUCAUUUCACCACUCAAGCCUGGCUUGGUAUUGGGCGUCGCGGCUCCGCGCGCCUUAAAGUCUCCGGCUGAGCCAUUCGUCUCUAAGCGUUGUGGAUUUUCUAAUUCGCUUCGGAGUGCGGGUGGCCGCGGCCGUUAAAUCUUUAUUCAAAGGUUGACCUCGGAUCAGGUAGGGAUACCCGCUGAACU